ACGCCGUCCCGAGCGGCGUUCAUGGCCUUGUAGGGGCCAGCUGGGCGGGGGUGAUGCCGUGUCGGCGCAGCAUCACCCCCGCAAC
rnacentral:ncRNA from 1 species